rnacentral:ncRNA from 2 species
UGGACACCUUGGGGGUGCCAGGUCGAUUUUGGCGUGGCUGAGAGAGUCCCUUCGAACCUGUACGGGUCAUGCCGUCGUAGGGAAGCGGAGCGCAUCUGCU